AACGAACGCUGGCGGCGUGCCUAACACAUGCAAGUCGAACGUGAUUGAAGAGCUUGCUCUUCAUGAAAGUGGCGCACGGGUGAGUAACGCGUAGAUAAUCUACCUGGUGAUUUGGGAUAACAGUUCGAAAGGACUGCUAAUACCGAAUAAGCCCACGGAGUCUUUGGAUUCUGCGGGAAAAGGGGGGGACCUUAUGGCCUUCCGUCAUCAGAUGAGUCUGCGUACCAUUAGCUAGUUGGUAGGGUAAAGGCCUACCAAGGCGACGAUGGUUAGCUGGUCUGAGAGGAUGAUCAGGCACACUGGAACUGAGACACGGUCCAGACUCCUACGGGAGGCAGCAGUGGGGAAUUUUGCGCAAUGGGGGAAACCCUGACGCAGCAACGCCGCGUGAGUGAUGAAGGCCCUUGGGUCGUAAAGCUCUGACAGAGGGAAAGAAAUGCAGGGGAGCUAAUAUCUCCUUUGCUUGACGGUACCCUCAAAGGAAGCACCGGCUAACUCCGUGCCAGCCGCCGCAGUAACAC
rnacentral:rRNA from 1 species